rnacentral:rRNA from 1 species
UACCGGGGGGGCAAACGUUGCUCGGAAUUAUUGGGCGUAAAGCGCGCGUAGGCGGCUAUUUAAGUCGGAUGUGAAAGCCCCUGGCUCAACUGGGGAAGUGCACCCGAAGCUGAAUGGCUUGAGUGCAAAAGAGGGCCGCGGAAUUCCCGGUGUAGAGGUGAAAUUCGUAGAUAUCGGGAGGAACACCGGUGGCGAAGGCGGCGGCCUGGGUUGACACUGACGCUGAGGCGCGAAAGCGUGGGGAGCAAACAGG